rnacentral:rRNA from 1 species
AAAUUGAAGAGUUUGAUCAUGGCUCAGAUUGAACGCUGGCGGCAGGCCUAACACAUGCAAGUCGAACGGUAACAGGAAGCAGCUUGCUGCUUCGCUGACGAGUGGCGGACGGGUGAGUAAUGUCUGGGAAACUGCCUGAUGGAGGGGGAUAACUACUGGAAACGGUGGCUAAUACCGCAUAACGUCGCAAGACCAAAGAGGGGGACCUUCGGGCCUCUUGCCAUCAGAUGUGCCCAGAUGGGAUUAGCUUGUUGGUGAGGUAACGGCUCACCAAGGCGACGAUCCCUAGCUGGUCUGAGAGGAUGACCAGCCACACUGGAACUGAGACACGGUCCAGACUCCUACGGGAGGCAGCAGUGGGGAAUAUUGCACAAUGGGCGCAAGCCUGAUGCAGCCAUGCCGCGUGUAUGAAGAAGGCCUUCGGGUUGUAAAGUACUUUCAGCGGGGAGGAAGGUGUUGCGGUUAAUAACCGCAGCAAUUGACGUUACCCGCAGAAGAAGCACCGGCUAACUCCGUGCCAGCAGCCGCGGUAAUACGGAGGGUGCAAGCGUUAAUCGGAAUUACUGGGCGUAAAGCGCACGCAGGCGGUCUGUCAAGUCGGAUGUGAAAUCCCCGGGCUCAACCUGGGAACUGCAUUCGAAACUGGCAGGCUUGAGUCUUGUAGAGGGGGGUAGAAUUCCAGGUGUAGCGGUGAAAUGCGUAGAGAUCUGGAGGAAUACCGGUGGCGAAGGCGGCCCCCUGGACAAAGACUGACGCUCAGGUGCGAAAGCGUGGGGAGCAAACAGGAUUAGAUACCCUGGUAGUCCACGCCGUAAACGAUGUCUACUUGGAGGUUGUGCCCUUGAGGCGUGGCUUCCGGAGCUAACGCGUUAAGUAGACCGCCUGGGGAGUACGGCCGCAAGGUUAAAACUCAAAUGAAUUGACGGGGGCCCGCACAAGCGGUGGAGCAUGUGGUUUAAUUCGAUGCAACGCGAAGAACCUUACCUGGUCUUGACAUCCACAGAACUUUCCAGAGAUGGAUUGGUGCCUUCGGGAACUGUGAGACAGGUGCUGCAUGGCUGUCGUCAGCUCGUGUUGUGAAAUGUUGGGUUAAGUCCCGCAACGAGCGCAACCCUUAUCCUUUGUUGCCAGCGAUUAGGUCGGGAACUCAAAGGAGACUGCCAGUGAUAAACUGGAGGAAGGUGGGGAUGACGUCAAGUCAUCAUGGCCCUUACGACCAGGGCUACACACGUGCUACAAUGGCGCAUACAAAGAGAAGCGACCUCGCGAGAGCAAGCGGACCUCAUAAAGUGCGUCGUAGUCCGGAUUGGAGUCUGCAACUCGACUCCAUGAAGUCGGAAUCGCUAGUAAUCGUGGAUCAGAAUGCCACGGUGAAUACGUUCCCGGGCCUUGUACACACCGCCCGUCACACCAUGGGAGUGGGUUGCAAAAGAAGUAGGUAGCUUAACCUUCGGGAGGGCGCUUACCACUUUGUGAUUCAUGACUGGGGUGAAGUCGUAACAAGGUAACCGUAGGGGAACCUGCGGUUGGAUCACCUCCUUACCUUAAAGA